CUUGAUCUUGGUUUGCAAACCCUUCUGCCAUCAGUCCUAGAUUAGGCCCUGUUCAGCCAUGCAGGGGUGUUGGUUUAUGCGUGCUGCAGCAGUGGGCAUAAUGAAUAUAAUUUACCCAGUGGACAAAGGUGUGUACCAAGUGAAUUUAAAUAAUUGGUGUGGAUUGGCCAGUAGCUAAGAAGUGGGCUUUUAAAGAGUAUUGAAGAUUGAAAGGUGUUUUUUUUCUUUUUUAAAAAAGAAAAAAAAACUAUUGAUUGUAGAUAAUGAAAAGCUAGGGUUUGCCCUCUUCAUGUCUACUCUCCUUCCAAAUAGUUAUAUCCAAAACUGUUUUUCCCUGUCCCCUACCUUGUCCCCCCCAUUAAAAUAGAAACAGGGAUUGAUUAAUGUCCCGCUCCUGAAUACAUGUAAAAUUUGUACAAAAAUAUCUUCUAUGAAAAUGAUUUGUAAUCUGUAGACUUAUUACCUGGGAGAUGUCUUGAUGUAAAAUCCCAUCCUUUGGGUUGUGGGUUUUUUGUUUUCUCCAAAUAAAUCUGAUCUUUAAAGUUCAAAAAAAAAAAA
rnacentral:lncRNA from 1 species